rnacentral:lncRNA from 1 species
AAGUUAUCAUUGACAACUAAACAACUGAAAUGUUUUGAAUAAAAACUCUAUUCAAAUAAGUACUAUUUGAAAAGAUGUUAUCAAACAGAGCCUAACGAGACUGAAAAGGAACCGUUUCGAAUAAUAAAUUUUUAAACACAUUAAAAGUAAUAUAUAUCAAUUAUAUAACGAACAAAUAAUAUCAUGUCAUGUGUUCAUUUAUUUUAAAAAGAUGUAAAGGAUAAUUAAAUUAAAUUAAAUUAAAUUGCACGUCACAUACUCAAUAAUUAGUUAGCAUUAUCGCUGCACUAUAUACUUUCUUGCUAGGAAAACACGAAAGAAUCAUUGUAGGGUCGGUUUCUAGCCGUCGCCAAUAGACACGAUAAUCACAAAAAAUCCCAAUAUAAAAAGGAAUUAUCAAUCAACAAAUGCAUCACAAAACAAACUAUUUAAAACCCCGAUGACUACUCCUUAAUUAGCCAGUGGUGAUUCACAAAAAUAUGUUCACCUAAAAACAUUUGAUAAUGUUAAAGAGUUUGGAAUGUUCCACGAACAAUUGUCAUUUGCUGUUCGUGCUGCUACCGACCCUUUUAAUUAAGUCUCAUUAUUAUUAUUAUUAUUAUUAUUAUUAUUAUAGUUAUUCAUCAAAAUUUCUAACAAUUAAAAAUAGUGAAAAUAUUAAGUCGCUGCACUGCAUGCUGCAUAAAAUUUAAUAAAGACAAAUUAGACAAUAGGGAAAUUGAUGAGGCAAUAUUGGGCAACGUACGUCAAUCAAAUGAAAAGAAAUGAAUUAAUUAUUGAUUGUUGCCAACCUUUUCCCUUAACUUUAAGUCAUCGUCUUAAUCCAAAUUCUCUAUUUAAACCCAUAAUUGAUUUGGUCUCCCGAAAGAAACCGGCAACCCACUACAUAAAUUAAUUACAAGGACAUUGUAGACAUGCAACAACAAUAAAUAUUUAAUUUAGUAUAAUUAUAAUAAUAUUCAAUUUUAAUAUUUGAUUUUGGUACAAGACGUGAUGGUCGUGGCGUGCACCCAUGAACUAAUUGCAAUUUUAAAUUUCAAUCAUUAUUGGGCAUGUCGCCCGUCGAGUAUUUUAUCAUAGCUCAAUAUUUUAUAAUGUAGAUAUUUAAGAUAAUAAUAAUAAUUAUUAUUAUUAUGAGGAGAUCAUUUGAUCCUCUUGACUCUUGCCAAUUAAGAAAGUACAUUUUUUUUUUUUUUUUUUGCUUUCAAAUAAUGAAUUCUUAUGUAGUCGAAAUAUUAUGAAUAAUCUCCAGAUCAUUUGAUAUUAAUCAAAUUAUAUAAAGAAAUUCUCCUUUAAUUGAUAGAAUCCAUGACUUUAGCAACAAGUUUCAAGAAUGGAUAAAGCAUGUACAAUCUGAAAAGCUUAUUUUUGUAAUCAAUUUCUAGGCAGUACUCUUGAGACGCUGCCAAGGCCACCUUGAUAUAAUAAAUAAUCCAAAUAGAAAAAUAAAAAGCAUUUAUUAAAUUAAUUAAUUUAUGAUGUUUUGGUAGAAAUUAAUGGAACAAAAAUUUGCGCCACAACGAAUCAAUGAGAAAGAAAAAUUUUUUGCCGUCCUCAGACGACCUUACAUCCACACGACAUUGUUGGUAAUCUGCCAACUAUAUAAAAAUUGGAAAAACAAAAAAAGUGAAAAUUAUUUAAUAAAAAUUGAAUCAUUGAUUAAAAAAAUAAAAAAUGGCUGUGCCUAGAUUAAUCCGUCUGGUGGUGAAUGGCAGGCCUCAACUUGGGAUCCACGUCGGCCUUCUUAAUAAACCAUCAGUGCGAUCACAACCGUGUGAUUUGAUUACAUUUCUAACCAUAUAUAUAUAUAUAUAUAUAUAUAUGUUGUACAAAAUUGACCAUCAAAACAUGCUCUCCCUGUGCAGAUAUAUUCUGGGAACAGAUCUGCAUAUCUGUUAUCCAGUGCAGCAUUUACUGGUGAAAAUACCAUAAAUUUAAUCCUGCUUCUAGCAUUAUGUUCCAAUGGAUAGGGGAUUAUUUUGCUUAUUCUUGCUAAGGGAUUUGAGAAUAACUUUUAUUAUUCAAUUUUUUACCUUCAUAAGCAAAGCUUUUAAACGAAGUAAUUUUCUUAACAUGGUACUAAAUUAAGCGAAGGUUUUGAGUACGAUUUUCCGCUUACAAAGUUGUUUCAACUUUCAACUCACUGUUUUGAUCUUUGAAAUCUAAUAAAUUUUAAAAUUAGAUUUGUUUCACAUUAUAAGAGGAGUAAUACUAGAUGUUCAAUUUUUUUUCCCCAAAUAACUAUUUUAAAUGAUGUGGCAUUUAUCAAUUGGUUGUUGAAGUAGUCUUUUCAAAUGAAGUAAUUUUCUUAACAUGGUACUAAAUUAGGUUUUGUGUAUGUUUUUUCACUUACAAAAUCGAUUCAACUUUUAACUUACUGUUUUGAUCUCCGGGAUCUAACAGACUUUAGAAUUAGAUUUGUUUCACAUUAUAAGAGGGGUAGUGCUAUAUAUUUCAUUUUUUUUUAUCCCAAAUAAUUAAGGCAUUAAUUAAUUAAUUAAUUUCUUGGGAUAAUACAAUUAAUUCAUUGGAUUUUUGUAAAGAGUUAUCAACUAAUUAAUGAAUACCACAUCAUUUGAGAUAAAAAAUUUAAGAUACCUAUCAUUACUCUUAUAAGGGAGAGUUGUUUUGUUGGCACUCUGGUUUGAUCUCUCUAGACCCACACGAGUUAUUCGAAAUCAAAUAUUCUAUUAUUUAUAUAAAAUGAGAGAAUAUUACCUAUUAACUUAAGUUUUGAGAUUAAAGAUUUCUUUAAUAAAUUUGAUAUCAGUAUAUGCACGCUCUGUAAGAAAAAAAAAAUAAUUUUAAAUGAAUUUUACUUGGGACAUAGAAAAACUGUUUCAUAAAUGAUUAUUGCAACACAAUUGUAUAUAAAGAACCAAGAGGGAAAUAGGGAUUUAGAUUUUAUGUUGUGUUUACUUGCUGGAGUGGGAGUGAGGAGUGUGGAUUCCUCCCACUCUAGCGUUUACUUCCUCUAAAUGGGAAGGGAGUGGGAAUCCCACUCCGUGGGCCCCACCCAUUUUUGGAGUGGGGAGUGGGAGUGGGAAUCCACUCCCACCUCUCCCUUUUUUACCCUUUUAUUUUUUUUAAUUUAAUUUAA